rnacentral:rRNA from 1 species
AUUCCAGCUCCUAAAGUGUAUACUAACGUUGUUGCAGUUAAAAAGCUCGUAGUUGAACUAUUGGUGUGGGUGAAUGUUGGCCCUUUGGAUGUAUUGUCCAUUGUUGUUGCUACUUUACCUUGCCAUCUUGGAUUUUCUUUUUUCUUUAGGAGAUCCUCUUUCACUGUAAAAAAAUUAGGGUGUUCCAAGCAGAUUGUAAUUGGUCGGAAUAUUUCAGUAUGGGAUGAUAAGAUAAGCUGUUGUUGCUAUUUUGUUGGUUUGUACAAUAACAGAAUGAUUAACAGGGACAGUUGGGGGUAUUCGUAUUUAGAUGUCAGAGGUGAAAUUCUUGGAUUUUCGAAAGACGAACUACUGCGAAAGCAUUUACCAAGGAUGUUUUCAUUA